rnacentral:rRNA from 1 species
GAUGAACGCUGGCGGCGUGCCUAAUACAUGCAAGUCGAGCGAGCAGACGAGGAGCUUACUCCUCUGACGUUAGCGGCGGACGGGUGAGUAACACGUGGAUAACCUACCUAUAAGACUGGGAUAACUUCGGGAAACCGGAGCUAAUACCGGAUAACAUGUUGAACCGCAUGGUUCAACAGUGAAAGACGGUCUUGCUGUCACUUAUAGAUGGAUCCGCGUCGCAUUAGCUAGUUGGUAAGGUAACGGCUUACCAAGGCAACGAUGCGUAGCCGACCUGAGAGGGUGAUCGGCCACACUGGAACUGAGACACGGUCCAGACUCCUACGGGAGGCAGCAGUAGGGAAUCUUCCGCAAUGGGCGAAAGCCUGACGGAGCAACGCCGCGUGAGUGAAGAAGGUCUUCGGAUCGUAAAACUCUGUUAUUAGGGAAGAACAAAUGUGUAAGUAACUAUGCACGUCUUGACGGUACCUAAUCAGAAAGCCACGGCUAACUACGUG